UGGGAGUGAGUCGGGUUUUUUUCCCCCUUUAUUUAACCAAGUGCAGCAGUGCUUUCAGCACAAACAAGCCAUAAAUUUUUCAUGGUUUGGCUAUCUUAUAAAACUCUGCUUUCUAGUCUGGGAGCGAGUCAUUAUUUUUCCUUUUUUUCCCCCUCGAGCGCAGCACAAACAAACACGUCCACGAACUUCAGACCAGUCACACAUUACCGUGGACACCGGAUGGGGCUCAAAAGUUCUUCCAGCGGGUUGUGCCAAAAGGGGCUGUCGACACGACGCUGAGAAGCCCAGUGACGCAAUUUUCAUCAUUAAACUGUGACAACCCYUGCCGACAUUGGCAGUUUGCAGGGAGUAUGUUUUCAGCUUUAGUCUGUGUGUCAAAAUGAGUCGUCGUUUGACGGUGGAGGAAGCUGAGUGCUGAGCUUCAGCUUGAAGAAGAGGAGGAAGAGGAGGAAGACAGCACGCCGGUGGAGGAUUAAGACUUGCAGGGGAAAACGAAGAGGAGGAGGAGGAGUUGCCCACCCACUCUGUCAGGCCCACAAAACAGAAACCACAACGAAGUCGGACCAGGACCAGAUCCAGAACCAGAUCCCUGGUGACCGUAGCAGCAGGGACAGCAGCUGAAACAUGAUGGACAGUAGAACACCAAGAAAAGCAGAAAGCCCCUGUUGUAAGCCAUUUUCAACCUAGGAGACCAUGGAGUGCAGGUAGGUCUGCUGUCCCCCUACAGUCCAAAAAACUUUUUUGUUGUUUUUUGCUUCUGAUCCAGUCAAGAGCGUCUGUGAUAACACCAACAAACAUGCUGCAAAAAACAAGUUAGUGGAAAAAAUAUAAAUAGGCUCAAAUAGACAUGGAGCAGUUCUACAGUAUAUCUUUGGGUCUCCUGCUCUAUACGUCUAUGGUUCAACUACCAAAGUUCAGGACUAACAGUUGUAAAAACAAAAACACGAGACAUAAGGUUGGAGAGAUUUUAUGAUUGAGUCGUUGUCACACAUUUUUGAAAUGGUUGUAAAAUUAAAAAAACACACGAGACAUUGUAAGGAUGGAGAGAAUUUGUGGAGGAGUCAUUGUGACACAUUUUGUAAAU